UACGGAGGGUGCAAGCGUUAUCCGGAUUCACUGGGCUUAAAGGGUGCGUAGGUGGGCAGGUAAGUCAGUGGUGAAAUCUCCGGGCUUAACCCGGAAACUGCCGUUGAUACUAUCUGUCUUGAAUAUCCUGGAGGUGAGCGGAAUAUGUCAUGUAGCGGUGAAAUGCUUAGAUAUGACAUAGAACACCAAUUGCGAAGGCAGCUCACUACGGGAUUAUUGACACUGAGGCACGAAAGCGUGGGGAUCAAACAGG
rnacentral:rRNA from 1 species